rnacentral:lncRNA from 1 species
UCUUAUACCAUUUUGACCUCUCUCUUUCUCCUUCUUUCUCUUUUUUUAUUAAUUAUUAAUUAUUUAUUUUUUAAUACUCCACCUCAAUUCCAUUCAUCCUUCUUAUAUUUAAGAGUGUGGAUUUUCUACUGUGUACUGCAUGAUGUGGUGCACAGCAUGCUCCAUCCAUCGCACGAUGGAUGGCCGCACAGGGCCUCUGUGUGAUGCAUGACCCACGUGGCC